rnacentral:ncRNA from 2 species
GGCUUUGGGAGCCCGGGGGAUCAGCCCGGGCUGAAAGGGGAAAGUCCGGUGCGAGUCCGGCGCUGUGCCGCAGCUGUGAUGGCUUGAGAGCAAGCCUCAGUCAGAAUGCCCGUCCCACAAAAGCCGCAUUC